AUUUUAUGUAAUAAAUAAUUUUUAAUUAAGUUUAUAUUUCUAUGAAUUCUAUUUCAAUUAUCUUUAGAAUUAUUUUAUUUAAAAAAAAAAGAAGAAGUAGCCGCACGUUUUCAAACUAAGUAAAAUUCUAACUAAUAUCUUGGAUAAAAAUCCGGGAUGUUACAUUUGGUAUCAGAGCAAUAAUCCUCGGACAAAUAUUUUUGGGGUGGGAGCGAUUGUGUAUAACGAAUGUCUUGAUUGAUGUGUGACUAUGUGUUUGUGCUUGUUAUUCUUGGUGUUUCUUAGUGUGAUUUUCGUAAGAUGAUUAUUGUACGAUCUUUUUAAAACAAAUGAAUUUGUAAAUGUUAGAAACUAUGCUUCCAGUUGUGCAAUACCAUUUGUUUUUUUUAAAACAAUAUUUUCUUUUGAGGAGUAUCUGAUUAUAUUUCUAUCAUACUAGUAUUUUAUUUUAUCUAUAUUGGACUAUUUUACUUAAAUUAUCCAUAAAUGAAUUUAUCUUUGCAAAUCAUUUUGCCACUUAUGUUUUUUAUCUUUGUUGGACAUCAGAGUGCGCAGCGAACACUUCUUCAUUUUUAAACACUCUUGUCGACGUAUAAAAAGAGUACCUUACAUAAACAAUUUUGGAAAUUUUACCUCAAAAAUUUUUAUUUUCUAGUUUCGAGGACGAAACUCUUUUAAGGGGGUAAUAAUGUAACACCCCAAUAUUUUAUACAUACAUUUUAUUGAUUUGUUAUUUGAUUAAUAAAAUCUAUAUAAGUAAUUAUUUUAUAUUCCAUUUUCUUAUUUUAUUUUUUGAUGUGAUAAUAUUUGUUUUAAUUAUUGCUUCACUAAUUUAUAAGUUUUGGAAAUUAAUUAGCACUAGUUUUAGGAUGAUGAUAAAUCCAUUUGACCAAGCCAAAAUUGGAAGCCCUGCCAAUAUAUUAUCCACGUGAAACAUGAUUGACCAUGAUUAGAUUAUAUUUAAAUAUUAAUUAUUAAUUAUUAAUCUUUUAUUCAAUGCUAUUUAAAUGAAUUGGUCUUAGUCAAACACAUUCAUUUCCUCUUAAUGUGAAAUUGAUUGAACAAAAUGAUGAGUAGUUGUCAUUUUUAUAAUGCUACGUUUUGAAGGAGAUUAUAGCAAGUACCUCUCUCCCUUUUGCUUGUUUAUACGUACACCUCUUCUUUCCUUUCACAAAUUCAUAUUCAUUCUUUUACUUACUAGUUUAUAUAUCUCCCCCGCAAACAAAGAAAAAUUGGUACGUAAAUGUCAAACUCUCCCUUCACGAAACAAAACCAAACUCAUGCAAAGCUAGUUCCCUUCAUCAUUUCAAGUUAUCAUCAAGUUUUAUUCUUAACCUCAUUCUUUCCGAAUUCAAUUCAUAGCUGCAAUCAUAGAAUCACGUUCUCUCCUUCGUCUACCGUCGGAUUGUCGAAUCGAUCUUUGGAGCGUGAGUUAUCGCAUGUGCAAUGUAAAUGCAAAUUUAAGCUAGUAUAGUGAUUGGAAGAAAGCACACGAGGGACGAGGAGGAGCCAUUAGAGCCUGAGAUUGAGGUAACAUGUUUCUCAUUCUUUCUACUCUUAUCCUUUUAGUUUUUGGAAUUUAAUGGAUUUAUGGAUUGAUCGAUGGAUUGUUACACUCCUAAAAGGGGUAGUUUAGCUGAUAAUUUAUUUGUGUUUCUAGUAUGAUUUGGUGUUUGUUCAGUGCAGAUGGAAUUGUAAUCUACGCCCAUGUGAUUUUAAAAUGGAGAAGCUGGUCUUAAGUUAUUUUCAAACUUUUAGCCUUGUAGGUGUAUGCACAACUUUAACCUCAGGCCACAACAUGCAACUCAGGUCUUUGACAUCAUUGAGGACUUUUACAUUGGAGACUUGGAGCAAUAGCUAAUACUAUGUUUGGAUUUCCAUUGCAAACUUAAGUUUCGGUCCAAAAGUUGCCCUUCAUUUUUGCAAGUUAAUGGUGGUUCAUCAGAUUCUAAUAUCGAAGUUCAGAAUGAGAUUGUUCAUUGGCAUAAUAGGAAUUAUAAUCAAUGUGUCAUUUGAAAUGUGAGUGUGUCAUUAAUUUGAAGCAUUAAUGCUGAACUGAUAUUGGAAUGCUAUUAAGAAGCCAAAAUUGGAUUUUGGGCUGCUUAUAAUGUCAAACUUCAAUUUCCCUAGCCUUCAAAAGACCAUGAAUGCUAGAAGCAUGAGGCAGAACCAUAUAUGUUGUUAGGAUCAAGGAGGUGAGGGUAAGACUAUAAUUAACUAUGUGUUGUACUUUUUCCACAAGAUCAAGGUGGAGGUGAGAGUAAUUUAGUAUAUCUUUAAGUUCUGGUUUUGCAUCUUUGAUGAAGUUUUUCUGAUUUUUAUUUUUGAUGAGUUGCUUUUGCUCUCAAGUGGGUAAGAUUUUUAUUAUGGAGAAGCAAAGAUGGCUCUGAAGGUAGGCACUUUGAAAAUUGAGUUUUACAUCAUGGAUAUAGUCACUGUGACAGCUGCAGGCAUCAUCAGAGUUAGAGAUGUGAAAACUUCACAAGAUGUUGGAAGAUGAGGCUCAUCAGAGAGAGAAACUUGAAGGAGAAAGUGUAAUAUUACAAUAAAAUCUAGUGGUACUGAAUUAUCAAUUAUUUGGCAUGUGAUGUACAUCUAUGUAUUUACUAUUUUCAUUUUUUAUAUUAAUUUAGUAUAUAAUUUUUUUUUUGGUACAUUAGUAUAUAAUAAUUUAUUUGGGUAAUUAUGAAUUUUAUGUUUAUUUGUUGUACAUUUUGUACU